GAAAACGGAAUAUUGAAGAGAUGGGGAAAUGGUGUGACCUGCAGUUGCCAAUUCAUGAUUUGGUGACUUGGAGGCUCAGCCUCAGUGCUAUAGUACUGACAAGGAAGCUGAGGUUUGGAGGUUAAGCGACUUGUCGCCUGCUGAUGAGUGAUGACAAUCGGGCUGUCUGCCUGGGGCCACACCCUGAGGCUGCUAGGCAGUGUCUGCAGAGACAAGGCCAAGGCGGGCUGCUCGCUCUGGGCAGACCCACUGGGGGCCUGUGUAGCUGUCUGCAGUCAGCAGAGCUGGUAGCGAGCUCUCUCCCCAGCGGGGAAGUCAUCAAGAAAUCUCCCAUUUUCAUCUUCCUGCAGGCACGUCUCCCUAGAGAGGAGUCUCCCAGGGUGGACCCUGGGAGUUCCUGGAGGAUGUCCCUGCUCCAUGACUGCUGGCAAAGUUCCUCCAGGGUUAUCCGGUCCUCGCCAAGCCCACCUCUUGCCUUUCAUUUCAACUCUGAAAUAUGCACCCGGCGAAUUCCACAAACAUUGACGGAACCCUUGCCAAGGUCCAGAACCAUGUUGAGGAAUUGGUCCACAUUUCCUCAUUUAACCCUACUGUAAUCCUCAGAGGCCACUUUAUCAUUUCCAUUUUAUAGAAAUCCAGAGGAGUGAAGAGGACUGUUCCAGGCCACUUGGCUAAUAAAUAAAAUUAUUAUGCCAGCAAUUUGUUGGGCAUCUAUGA
rnacentral:lncRNA from 1 species